UUGUCUUAGAGGUGCUCAGGUGCCUCAAGACUCUUGAUUAACUGCUGAAUUUCUUUUUGCUGUUCCUUAUGGCACUUAAUGAAUAUCCUCUGAAAAGAGAACAUGAUGUGGAAUUCACUGGCUACUUCUUACACUUGUUGACAUAAAAAAGAAGAAGAUGGAAUUAGAUAUUGUAUUUCAUUUGCUGUGUAAUUUGUCUGAGGUUCUCAAGAAUUUUGUCCUAAAUAGAGCUGAUGUAUUGCGAGAAAACGCAGAAGUUGUAUUUGCAGCAUGUGAUACUGCUCAUGGAAGAUGGGCAAAGCUUCUUGUGGUCCGUGCUGUUCUCCAUCCAAGGCUGAAAUUGCAGGAGUUUCAGAAGAUAUAUAACAUCACCUAGGGGUUCAUUACUGCUACAGAAAAGUUGGUGGAAGAUUGGGAUACAGCAUCCCGUGGGACACUGCAGUCUCAGGCCAAAGCCUUUGUUGAUUUCCAGCAUGAAUCCCGGAUGACAAAAUUAGGGCAGUGUUUGACCAAGAAACAUGGGUAGAGAUAGAUAUUCCUGAUGAAUUUCAAUCCAUUAUCAAAGUGGUUUUUUCAUCUGAUGCAUUGCAUUCUGAGAGCUUUAGUGAAACUGACGAUGUUAAUUCAACUAGUUACAAUGAUGUUCUGCCAAUGUCGGAAACUGGACAGUCAAAUGCUGAACAACCCGAGGAGCAGACUAAGUCCACUGAAUCACCUACUACUGAAGUAGAUAACGCUAAAGCCCAGGCAAUUCAAUAGAGCUAAUAGUAAAAUUUCAUCAGCACAAUGUAAAAAAUACAGAGAAAGACCAUAAAAGAUCUGCAUCUCAGGCUCUUUACUACAAAGGUGUUGGUUAUCACAUGGUAAACUGUGGCUUAAUAUUGCUGAAGAUGCUGUCAGAGUACAUUGAUAUGAACAAUUUGUUGCCGCCACUUUCUUCAGAAGUUGUACGUCGUGUGGUAGAAAUUUUGAAACUUUUCAACACAUGAACUUGUCAACUUGUGCUUGGGGCUAGUGCUAUGCAGGUGUCUGGUUUGAAGUCCUCCACUUCGAAACAUCUGGCAUUGGCAAGUCAAGUCAUUAGUUUUACCCAUGCUAUUAUUCCUGGAUUAUAAAGUUCAGAGAGACGAAAUACAUUCCAAAUUAGUUCAGAUAAUGCGAGAGAGAUUACGGGUCCGUUUGCGUGGGUUGCCUCAAAUUGUUGAGAGUUGGAAUAGACCUGAGGAUACUUAUCCCUAGCCUAGUCAGUUUGCUAAGUCCCUUACAAAGGAAGUUAGAUACCUCCAACGUGUUCUGUCUCGUACUUUGCAUAAAGAUGAUGUUCAAGCUAUCUUCAGGUAAGAACCUCAGAAAUCUCUUGCCAAGAAUAUGACAACUUUAGGAGCAACUAACCAUUUCACACCACUUAUGGAUUUAUGCAAAUGCUUGGGUUCUUAAUAAUUGUUUCUUGACUUGCUUGCUUGAGUCUAGAAACAAUUAACCCCUUGUACUUACAAUAUUGUCUAUCCACAAGAAUUCCUUUUGGUAACUUCUUGAACCAUUUUACUAGGCAGAAAGAAUUAUUGAAGCACAUCCCAAAGGCAUGAUAUAAUGACCACACAUAGCGCAGUGGUGGGCAUUAGUAUCAAUUCCCAUCUUAAUUUGUUUUUGAUAACAUUUUAUGUUGUAUCUUUAUUACCGUCUUUUCUUAAUUUGUUUUCAUAUCUUCAUAUUAUUUUGUUCUGUUAUGUAAAGGUUCAUCUACAUGUAUUGCGACUAUUGUGUUGUUACAGAUUUUGGAUUUGUAAUUGUAUUAUUUUAUAUGAUUUAUUUAUGACAUUAUGUACAAGGUUGUCAAAUAGCUGUUAUUGUGGCAGUAGUGUUAUAACUAAUUGACAACCUUGUGUAAGAACUUGGUACAACAACAACAAAGUCUUGUAUCAUUUGGUGGGGUCGAUUAUAUAAAUUAAAUGACUUCAUUUUGCUAUGUGAUGUAUCAUGUCUGUAGUUAGUCCAUUUAGGAUUAAAUUUCUUGACACAAUUUUCCUUCUACCCCUAACCACAGGUCUAUUGAUUAGCGGAUAUUUUAUACGCUUUUUGGGGGUAAUUUCAUGUAGAUUUUAGUAUGUUUUAGUUAGUUUUUAGUAGAUUUUUAUUAGUUUUUAGGCAAAAAUUAUAUUUCUA